rnacentral:rRNA from 1 species
GGAAUCUUCCACAAUGGGCACAAGCCUGAUGGAGCAACACCGCGUGAGUGAAGAAGGGUUUCGGCUCGUAAAGCUCUGUUGUUAGAGAAGAACACGUUUGAGAGUAACUGUUCAGACGUUGACGGUAUCCAACCAGAAAGCCACGGCUAACUACGUGCCAGCAGCCGCGGUAAUACGUAGGUGGCAAGCGUUAUCCGGAUUUAUUGGGCGUAAAGCGAGCGCAGGCGGUUUGAUAAGUCUGAUGUGAAAGCCUUUGGCUUAACCAAGGAAGUGCAUCGGAAACUGUCAGACUUGAGUGCAGAAGAGGACAGUGGAACUCCAUGUGUAGCGGUGGACUGCGUAGAUAUAUGGAAGAACACCAGUGGCGAAGGCGGCUGUCUGGUCUGCAACUGACGCUGAGGCUCGAAAGCAUGGGUAGCGAACA